rnacentral:rRNA from 1 species
GAAUAUUGGACAAUGGGCGCAAGCCUGAUCCAGCCAUGCCGCGUGAGUGAUGAAGGCCCUAGGGUUGUAAAGCUCUUUCACCGGUGAAGAUAAUGACGGUAACCGGAGAAGAAGCCCCGGCUAACUUCGUUCCAGCAGCCGCGGUAAUACGAAGGGGGCUAGCGUUGUUCGGAAUUACUGGGCGUAAAGCGCACGUAGGCGGACAUUUAAGUCAGGGGUGAAAUCCCGGGGCUCAACCCCGGAACUGCCUUUGAUACUGGAUGUCUGGAGUAUGGAAGAGGUGAGUGGAAUUCCGAGUGUAGAGGUGAAAUUCGUAGAUAUUCGGAGGAACACCAGUGGCGAAGGCGGCUCACUGGUCCAUUACUGACGCUGAGGUGCGAAAGCGUGGGGAGCAAACA